CUGGAAUUCCAUCAGCUGCUGCUCCUUCCCCCACAGAUGACAAUGUUUUAUAGGUGAUCGUGACAGCAAAGCCUGGCAGUUCACAGGCACCCCACAACAAGCAGACUGCCAUCCUUCAGUGGUGAAAAAGUAGGAGUGGAAACACCACCCCAGCCAGAAAACUCUCUUAAGCCCACAUCUCAUUGCAAAGACAAGGCUUUCCCAAGUGUCUCUGGCCACUUUUUCCCUGUCUGCAGCAGCCUGAAGCACUUUAGCAUUGAGAUACUUGGGGUUUUUACCCUGCCCUGGUGCCUCUUCCAAAACAAAAGUUUGCCCUCCCUGGGACAUGAGCAGACCCGAGCAAAAGGAUCUUCUCUUCUGCACCCCUCCUUGGAGCAACAGCCAGUGUCCUGUGAAUCUUUGUGGGUCUCCCUCACUUUGCUCCAAAAAGUGGCAAUUGACUGAAUACCCUGGGAGAAGGAGCCCUCAGCACUGCACAGU
rnacentral:lncRNA from 1 species